UACGUAGGCAGCGAGCGUUGUUCGGAGUUACUGGGCGUAAAGGGCGUGUAGGCGGUUUUCUAAGUUUGGUGUGAAAUCUCCCGGCUCAACCGGGAGGGUGCGCCGAAAACUGGGAGACUAGAGUGCGGGAUGGGAGAGUAGAAUUCCUGGUGUAGCGGUGAAAUGCGUAGAUAUCAGGAGGAAUACCGGUGGUGUAGACGGCUCUCUGGACCGCAACUGACGCUGAGACACGAAAGCGUGGGUAGCAAACAGG
rnacentral:rRNA from 1 species